UACGGAGGGGGCUAGCGUUGUUCGGAAUUAUUGGGCGUAAAGAGCUCGUAGGCGGUUUGUCGCGUCUGCUGUGAAAACCCGAGGCUCAACCUCGGGCCUGCAGUGGGUACGGGCAGACUAGAGUGCGGUAGGGGAGAUUGGAAUUCCUGGUGUAGCGGUGGAAUGCGCAGAUAUCAGGAGGAACACCAAUGGCGAAGGCAGAUCUCUGGGCCGUAACUGACGCUGAGGAGCGAAAGCAUGGGGAGCGAACAGG
rnacentral:rRNA from 1 species